rnacentral:lncRNA from 1 species
ACAUGCUUUCAUAUAAAAUUCUUCCAGAUUAGAGUGAAGUGUCAUGGAGUUUAGAACCUGCACUUAAGUCUUAAGUAAUUGAAAGACAAAAUAAUUAAGUCAAGCACUAUUCCUCCUGUCUAUACUUCACCUUUGUUCCAGAGUUUUUCAUAAGUUUUCAAAAUAAAACUCAGAGUUCCCAGCAAUGAUUCUCUCAAGUCUCUCUAUAUGUGGUAUUUGUGGAUCCUUACCAAAAUAUCACUUACCUAUAGCUAAUAGAAUAUUUAAGUGGAGCUCGUAGGAGUUUAAAACAACUCAUACAUAUGUUGUCUAAUCGAGCCAUGGAUCCAAAGGAACUCAGCAUAUAAUUAAAUCAAGAUGUGCAUGUGUGGUGGAGUAAAUGAUAGUGAUGAUAAAAAUGUAUAAGUGAUGAUAAAGCUUACUUCUCAUUGCUCCUCAUAUUGCUACCUCUUCUCUUCUUUGAUCUUUGCUUUGGGAGAACAUGGGCUAUCUCUUUUUUUCUUCUCUUUUUUUUCAGAUGGGUAGUAGAUACCCCUAAUUCUACUGUCGGACACUUGUCCAUUUUUUCCGCUCAAGUGGGCAUCUUUGUACCCCUAAUUCUACUUCGGACACUUGUCCAUUUUUUACCUCGUCUCACUCUUUUUCUUUCUUUUUCGAGGUUCCGGGCACUUGCCCCUUUUUAUUUCCUCGCAUAUUUUUGCAUAACCCAUGCCUCUUCCGCAUUAAAUCUUUUUAGAGAGAGAAUAACAAUACUUGGGACAGUGAGUGAUAAUAUUUUUAGUAAUUUUAAUAAAUGGUGGUGGAUGGUGUGGUAGAUGUGUGCAAGUGAAUAUCUUAAUUUAACCACAUGAAAAGCUCCUAAGGGUCUACACAGCUCGAUCAAACUCAAUGUGAGUGUAGUAAAAGAUGUUAUAGCGAGCAUGGCUGUGGUAGGUAGUUUGUAAUGCUAGGAACUCAUCAUGUGCUUUGUAAGUUUUCAAAAUAAAUCUCCAGAACUUAGUGUAGUAGGAACAAGAUAAACAGCAGCUCAAACUUUAUAUUAUGCCUUUCUCUUACCUAGACUUUAGUUUUAUGCUUUCCAUAGACAGUAAUUUCAGUUUUAGUAAUUCCUGGAAGAACUCUAAUAUAAAAGCUAGGUACUUGAAAGUAAGCAAACAGAGAAACUAUUCAUCAUUUCCAUCAUGCAUUUUUUUUGGUCUUUUUAUUUUUCUAGAGAUUAACAAUCAGCAGAUAAAUAAAGCACACUUAUCUACACACUCUUUUUAUUUUGUUUUCAUGUUUAUAAAAUGCAGUGAAUUAAAGCAAGAAAAUAUUUAUUGGGUUUUAUAAGUUUUUCUCUUAAGAUAAAAUACUAAAAUAGAAAAGAAUAAAUAAGAAGAGCAAAUAAAAACUUACUUGAUAAAUUGGGGAGGAACUCCCCCAAGCUGGAUGUUGAUGUCAGUCUUACCCGAUGUUCCAGAACCGCAUCAUGGUUGUGAUGUUGUCGUUCAUUGUUAUUGUAUCUUGUCUCAGCUCUUGUACUGCAGUGACGUGGUCCUGGUUCCAUUUUUGUUGCUCUUCCAGGAGUCGUCCAUGUUCUGCUUACGUGUUCUGGAUGUCGAGGAGAGUGUUGUCGGUACGGGUGAAGAAAGCACCGGCCUCUUGAUAGUAGUCAUUCGUGAAAGCGUAGGAGGCGUCGGAGUAUCGUCCUGCAUCAAAUUGGGGCGGAGGUCUGG